rnacentral:lncRNA from 1 species
ACUACUUUUUAUAUAUUUUUAAUUUUUAUUGAAGUCAAAAUUUGAUUAAUAAUCACGAUAUCCUAACGACAACAUCGCAAACAUAUCACAAAGCGACAUAUAAUGUUAUGUGCUACUUUUGCUCUCAUUCAUAAUUUAGCACAUCAUGUCUCAUCCCAGCCCACUCUCCUAGUGCCUGGGGCAAUCACUUGUAUGAGUAAGCCGAUCUUUUGCCUGAUGACAUACCUUUUAAACUUCAUGUUUGUGUGUGUUAGUAAAUUUGUAAGACAAAUGAAAAACAACAUAAUAUAUACA